rnacentral:rRNA from 1 species
GUGCCAGCAGCCGCGGUCAUACGUAGGAUCCGAGCAUUAUCCGGAGUGACUGGGCGUAAAGAGUUGCGUAGGUGGAUGUUUAAGUAGAUGGUGAAAUCUGGUGGCUCAACCAUUCAGACUGUUAUCUAAACUGGACAUCUCGAGAGCGUCAGGGGUGACUGGAAUUUCUAGUGUAGGAGUGAAAUCCGUAGAUAUUAGAAGGAACACCGAUAGCGUAGGCAGGUCACUAGGGCGUUUCUGACACUAAGGCACGAAAGCGUAGGGAGCAAACGGGAUUAGAUACCCCGGUAGUCUACGCCGUAAACGAUGGAUGCUAGCUGUGGGGGGUAUCGACCCCUUCCGUAGCGAACUAACGCGUUAAGCAUCCCGCCUGUGUAGUACGAUCGCAAGAUUAAAACAUAAAGGAAUUGACGGGGACCCGCACAAGCGGUGGAGCGUGAUCUUUAAUUCGAUGCUAAACGAUAAACCUUACCAAGGCUUGACAUCCAGAGAAGAACCACGAAAGUGGAUUGUGCCUUCGGGAACUCUGUGACAGGUGAUGCAUGGCCGUCGUCAGCUCGUGUCGUGAGAUGUUUGGUUAAGUCCAUCAACGAGCGCAACCCUUGUCAGUAGUUGGAUUUUUCUACUGAAACUGCCCCGGUAACGAGGAGGAAGGAGGGGAUGAUGUCAGGUCAGUAUUUCCCUUACGCCCUGGGCUAGAAUCGCGCUACAAUGGCCGGUACAAUGCGAAGCGAAGUCGCGAGAUGAAGCAAAUCGCACCAAAGCCGGUCCCAGUUCGGAUAGGAGGCUGAAACUCGCCUCCUUGAAGUCGGAAUCGCUAGUAAUCGCAAAUCAGCAUGUUGCGGUGAAUACGUUCCCGGGUCUUGUACACACCGCCCGU